AUUGAACGCUAGCGGGAUGCUUUACACAUGCAAGUCGAACGUGCGGCGGACGUGAGAGUUAUAUAUCGGAACGUGCCCAGUAGCUCGCGAUAACUACCCGAAAGAGCGGCUAAUACCGCCCAGUAUUGGAGCGGCCGACAUCGGAUUAUCUAGGUGGUGGGGUAAAGGCUCACAAAGGCAACGAUCCGUUGCUGGUUUGAGAGGACGACCAGCCACACUUGAACUGAGACACGGCCCAGACGCCUACGGGAGGCAGCAGUGGUGAAUUUUGCACAAUGGGGGAAACCCUGAUCCAGCCAUCCCGCGUGUGUGAGAAGGCCUUCGGAUUGUAAAGUACUUUUGGCAGGGAAGCGGUAUCUACAGAAUAAGCACCGGCUAACUACGUGCCAGCCGCCGCGGUAAUUC
rnacentral:rRNA from 1 species